rnacentral:rRNA from 1 species
AUUGAACGCUGGCGGCAGGCUUAACACAUGCAAGUCGAGCGGUGAAAGGUAGCUUGCUACCUGACCUAGCGGCGGACGGGUGAGUAAUGCUUAGGAAUCUGCCUAUUAGUGGGGGACAACAUUCCGAAAGGAAUGCUAAUACCGCAUACGCCCUACGGGGGAAAGCAGGGGAUCUUCGGACCUUGCGCUAAUAGAUGGGCCUAAGUCAGAUAAGCUAGUUGGUGGGGUAAAGGCCUACCAAGGCGACGAUCUGUAGCGGGUCUGAGAGGAUGAUCCGCCACACUGGGACUGAGACACGGCCCAGACUCCUACGGGAGGCAGCAGUGGGGAAUAUUGGACAAUGGGCGAAAGCCUGAUCCAGCCAUGCCGCGUGUGUGAAGAAGGCCUUUUGGUUGUAAAGCACUUUAAGCGAGGAGGAGGCUACCGAGAUUAAUACCCUUGGAUAGUGGACGUUACUCGCAGAAUAAGCACCGGCUAACUCUGUGCCAGCCGCCGCGGUAACAC